CUAACAUUUUGUCUUUCCUUUCCAGGCUGCUCCAGGCAGAUUGGCUUCUACUUUGUGAAACCUAAGCUGUGUUCAUUCACUGGCCUCUAUUUCUGUGACAAUUGCCACCAAGAUGAAGAGUCUGUGAUACCUUCACGUCUAAUUCAUAACUGGGAUCUUUCCAGAUAUCCGGCUUGACCACCGGCACUAUCUCCUGGAAUGUCCCCAUAAAUACAGUGUGGCUGACCUGAGGCAGGUAGGAAAUCUGGAAAAAAGAAAUGUUUCAAUCUAGAGGCAGGUAGAAUUUCAGUUCAAGAAAAUAUUACCAUUCCUUCAUCCUCUAAGCUGGAUUCCCCCAAAUCACAGCCUAGCAGACUUCCCUACAAAUUAUUUGACACACCAUGAAUUGUUGCAUCACUCAGUGUAGAGCAGGAAGCAAGAAACUUUUCAGAGUUGGUCUGUGCAUGUUCAGAUGCAAUCUUUUCCUCUGAAGAGUAUAGCAGAUAGACAGCUAAGCUCUCCAGGAAUUCUCUGGCCCAUUUGCUUCUGCUUACCAAUUUUUUUCCCCUAGUACUGUAUGUUGCAAAAUUUUUGUUACCUGCACUGGAUCUGCAUUAACAGCUGCUGAAACGGUUUUAAAAAUAAGUAUGCACAAAAUGGAAAAUCUAAGUUGUUACAAUUUUAGAACAAUUUGCUGUGUUCUAGAAGUUCUGCCAAGCCAUUUUGGAUCAGCUUCAGUUCAGCAAAAACAAAACCCAGAGUAUUUGUUUUAGUUGUUUGAGGGGUUUUAGGAGUUCCUGCAGAUUUUAUUCCACUAGUUGUUGCCCACUAUAGGGGGCACUGUUCAUGUCUGUUUCUAGCCGUUAAACCAGCACUGUCCGAAGAUGUUGCCGCAGUCUUGUGGCUAGCUUGACAUCACAGAGCUGUGUUACCUUCCCAUCAAAUGUAAACCUAUUUACUCACAUUUGCAUGCUUUCGAUCUUCUAGGUUGGCAAGGAACUGGAGCGAGCAUGGGGGCUCACCCCAUGACAUGGCACUCAGGUCUUGAACCUGGGUUGCCGGCUUUCCUGCCGACAAGCCCAGUGUCGUAACCACUGAGCCACUGCACCGCCCUCCAAAGCAAUUGGAGGGUUUGGAUGAAAUAAAAUCUGAAGAGAUGCCAGAUUCUUUUUACAGGGCAAGAAGGAUGCAUUCACUCCUUUUUUUCCUUUGUUAAUUUUCUGUAUAGUAUGUCGCAUACCCUCAACCCCUCUCAUCUUUCCAGCACCUUCCCUAGCCUGCCUUCCCUACUGCUGCUGGAAGUGUCCCAAGUUCCGCAUGUCCCAUUAAUCUCCCCAUUCCAGGUCUAGGACAAUUCGCCGUGGCCAUGUCACUACAGCCAACUCACUGCGGAACAAUUUGCUGGGGGACAAUUCCAUGCGGAUAACUCAACGCCUUGCUUCUACCUGGCAAGCCUUCCCGGUUUCUUUGCAUGGAAAAGAGGCUUGGAGAAUUUGGUCCUCCUUUUCAUGGAAGCCCCCAGCCCUGGGAGCAUUGUGCAUCUGGAGGGGGGUAUCAAGACCCAGAGGCCAUCCCAACCUUGGAACCCCCCUCGUCUAUGGCCUAUCAGAUCAACCUGAGAGCCUUGGCCAUGCUGAGGCUGUGGGAAAGCAUUGAACCUCUUCCUCCUCCACUCUGAGUAGGUCAGUCCCUGGAUCCAGGGUUACCCCAUCUUCCCCCAAUGCAAUCUGGCUCAGAGAGGUGAUGCCAGAGCCAAUAAACUGCCACCACUGUCUAGAUGGGUAAAUUAAUCAAGAAUUGCAUCCUGCCCAAGCGCUCCCUGGGCAUUGAGCUUUGCCCACCUGGCUACGCUGCCCUUGCUCCCUGCCAACACUGGAUCUCCCUUCCCCAGAGCCUGCGGAACUCCUAGCUACCAGUAGUAAAGGAGACCAGGAGGGGAUGGAUCUGCACACACACACCCAAGUCCAACUCUGUCCAUCCAGACACUCCUUGCCUAGCUGAAAAAGAAGGCAUUGCUCUGCCAAUUCUGUGAGGUAGCUUGGGGGAAUCAACUGAUGAAAUCCAUCUGGCACCAGCAGGGAGUGAGGGCAGUAUAGCUGAUUGGGGUGUGUGAAGUGCAAUUUCUGGGGAAUGCUCGCUAGAGGGCUCGAUCCUUGAUUAAUUUGCCCAUUUAGCUACUGACGGCAGCAGCACUUUAUCAUCUCUGGCAUCACCUCUCCAAGCCAGAUCACAGCGGAGGAAGAUGGGGGUCCCCCUGGAUCAAGAGAUUGACUUGACUUACAGCAGAGGAGAAGAAGGCUUGGUCCUUUCCCACAGCCUCAGCAUGGCCAGGGUUCUCCGGGUGAUCUGGUAGGGCAGGGGCAAGGAUUCCAAGGCAGACAUAGCCCUGGGAUUUCGACAACCGCUCUCCAGGGGCAAAAUGCCCAUGGUGCUAGGAACCUCCAUGAAAAGGAGGACCAAAUUCCUUAAGCCUCCUUUUCCAUGCAAAAAAACCCUGGAGGGCUUGCCAAACCGAAGCAAGGCAUUGAGUUAUCCCAUGUGGAACUAUCCUAAGAUGAGUUUCCUGUGCGAGUUGUCCUGCAGCAACUUGGCCGGGGCAACAUGGCCACAGCGAGUUGUAUCAUUCCGACCCACUCCUACUAUCUUCCCCCAUGAUCCUUCAUGUGCUUUCUCUUACCUCCCUCAUCUUGGCUAUCUUUGCUAAUGUAACUUAUUUCUCCAUCUGUUUCUUAUCCUACCAUGGCAUAUCUUGCCACUCACUCCCUGAUCUUUUCAACACCAUCACUUCCCUGCCAGCCAUCAGCUGCUGCCUGUGUCCAUUCCAUAAUCCUUACCUAACCUCCUCUGAACUACUUCUACCAAGACACGCCAUGCACAAUAUAUUACAAGCAAGUUGGUUUAAAUUCAUGCAUAAGCCAAAACAUAUGAAACACAACCUAUUCUGAUUUUGACAUGGACCAGCCAAAACCAGCUGUUUCAUGCCUUCAAAUGUUUUAAAUCAGACUGGCAUCAUAAGGGCCUUGGCCAUUUUUUGCUGAAUGACAUGUGAAUUUUGAGAAUUCCUGUGACAGCAGAAGUGGUUUCCCUGCUCCUUACCAACUGCUCAUGGCCCUUCUCUCCUCUUAGAUAGCAGAUGGUAUAUUUGAAACUUUUCUUCAGUCGCUGAUCCAAUUUGCCUCCCACCAUGUGUAUAGUUGUGAUCUUUGUACUCAGAGGGGCUUCAUCUGCCAAAUAUGCAACAAGAAUGACAUCAUCUUUCCCUUUGAAUUUGAUACAACCAGCAGGUGUAGUGAGUGCAAGACUGUCUUCCACAACAGUUGUCAGGCAAAUGCCAAUUUCUGUCCUCGUUGUGUCCGCCGGCAGAAAUAUCAGGAACUGCAAGAAUUCCUUUGGAAAUGAUCUCAACCGUGCCAGUCCUUUGGAUCAGAUUCUGGAAUUGGAUAAAAAUUCUGGAAUUGUCCAGAAGGCAAUUGGGAAACAGAAGCUUAGGAGCAAUAGAAGGCCAUUGCCAGCUGCACACUUUUUGUCCGGAUUACAGUCCUACAACAACCAGUGCACCUUGCCAUCAGCUCUUGGAAAGGAGCCCACAGAGAUACUUCUUUGAAUUCACUCAUUAUUGCCAUUAAUUUUCAUGCAUUCCUGCCUUCCCAGGCAAAUUUAUCCUUAUCCUGACAUUUGGUGAAUACUGGAUAUAUUAAAGGGAUAUGUAGCAAGAACUCCUAAAAAGACUGAAAUUAAUGCAUGUGUCUUGAUUUAAAUUGCCAGAGAAAAGGAAUUUUAUUUUACCUUUAACAAAUGCACUUUCCAGCAGAUUUCUCGUGCCUUCUACACUUUGCAGACUACUCUUAAAAUGUCUUGUGCCAAAAUAGCUGCUGAAUUCUUUAGAAAGGCACUCCAUCUUUGGUGUCCUACUCAAGCAAAGUGACCAAGUGUAUUCCAACCUUGAUUUUAAUAUUUUCUUUUAUUCUCCUAUGCAGAUAAUUAGCUUUAUUUAAUAAACAGAUGUCUUUUAUGAAUUCA